GAGAGGACCGGGAUGGACUGGCCGCUGGUGUAUCUGUUAGGAAUCAAUCCUAUGGCAGAGUAGCCAAGCCGGGAGGGGAUAAACGCUGAAGGCAUCUAAGCGUGAAGCCCCCCUCAAGAUGAGAUAUCCCAUUCGUAAGAAGUAAGACCCCUUAAAGAGUAUGAGGUUGAUAGGGCAGAGGUGGAAGUGCAGUAAUGCAUGCAGCUGACUGUCACUAAUAGGUCGAGGGCUUAUCCA
rnacentral:rRNA from 1 species